rnacentral:rRNA from 1 species
CUUGCCGCCGGCGACCGGCGCACGGGUGAGUAACACGUAUGCAACCUGCCCCUGUCAGGGGGACAACCCGCCGAAAGGCGGGCUAAACCCGCGUACAUGCCACCGGGGCAUCCCGGAGGCAGGAAAGGCUUCGGCCGGACAGGGAUGGGCAUGCGGCGCAUUAGGCAGUAGGCGGGGUAACGGCCCACCUAACCGACGAUGCGUAGGGGUUCUGAGAGGAAGGUCCCCCACACUGGUACUGAGACACGGACCAGACUCCUACGGGAGGCAGCAG